rnacentral:lncRNA from 1 species
UGAAGCCCUGCGAGGGAGGUGGAGCCCUUCCCAGAGCACCCAGGACCUGUCUCUGCACUGGGACCGAGAAGAUGCUUCAUUUCACAGGGCCAUGGAGAGGCUGCUCACCCUUGGCAGUCCCAGGAGCCCGAGGUGUGGCCCAGUGGGUGUCUGAUGUCAGGCCUCCAACAGUGACUCCCUUUUGGGGCCAACAGGCGAGGGAGACAGGAGGCGGGGGUCAGAGGACUGAACCCUGAGUGGGGAGGCACAGGGCACGCUGCCAACCGACUCUUCAAUUACACCUGUGAUCACAGCAGAGGCGAAACUCUGGUCACUUCAUUGGAAAGAUCAAGAUUGCAAACCACAGCACCCGGCGUGUGCACACCCUGCACCCUUCACUCAAUCUCCAGCCGCUUUGAACCACCUGCAGCUCUCUGAAUGCCACCUGUUUCACCUGUCUCUUUUUCUUUCUGGGCAUCUUCUCUGCCUUCUGGUCUGCCCGAUUGUCUCCUGAUUCUUCAGGUCUCACAUCAAUAAAUUCCUUUUCCACUGAGACUGGCUGGGACUGGCUGAGGUUCAGUGCACAGACCCUGGAGCUUGUCAGCUCUGCAGUGAGUGCAACCCUGCUGCCCACCAGCUGUGUGGGGCAGUCAGGGCUCCUCCCUGGGC